UACGGAGGGUGCAAGCGUUAUCCGGAUUCACUGGGUUUAAAGGGUGCGUAGGUGGUCAAGUAAGUCAGUGGUGAAAUCUCCGGGCUUAACCCGGAGACUGCCAUUGAUACUAUUUGUCUUGAAUACUGUGGAGGUCAGCGGAAUAUGUCAUGUAGCGGUGAAAUGCUUAGAUAUGACAUAGAACACCAAUUGCGAAGGCAGCUGGCUACACAAAUAUUGACACUGAGGCACGAAAGCGUGGGGAUCAAACAGG
rnacentral:rRNA from 1 species